rnacentral:SRP_RNA from 1 species
GCUGGGCUUAGUGGUGCCCACCAGUAGUCUCAGCUACUCAGGAGGUUGAGGUAAGAGGAUCCCUUGAGCCCAGGAGUUCUGGGCUGUAGUGUGCUAUGCUAAUUGGGUGUCUGCAGUGCUACCCACAUUGCCGAUCCGGUGUCCACACUAAGUUCACCCAUCAAUAUGGUGACCUAUCAGGAGUGGAGGAUCACUAGGUUGUCUAAGGAGGGUGAACUGGGGUCCAGGUCAGUAACAGAGCAGAUCAAAACUCCUGUCCUGAUGGAUAGUGAGAUCUCUGAAUAGCCACUACACUCUAGCCUGGACAAUAAAGCAAGACCCAU